UGGGGAAUCUUGCACAAUGGACGAAAGUCUGAUGCAGCAACGCCGCGUGGGGGAUGAAAUAUCUUGGUAUGUAAACUCCUUUCGAUGGGGAAGAUUAUGACGGUACCCAUAGAAGAAGCCCCGGCUAACUUCGUGCCAGCAGCCGCGGUAAUACGAGGGGGGCAAGCGUUGUUCGGAUUUAUUGGGCGUAAAGGGUGCGUAGGCGGUUUGAUAAGUCUGAUGUGAAAUCUAUGGGCUCAACCCAUAGUCUGCAUUAGAAACUGUCGGGCUUGAGUAUGGGAGAGGUGAGUGGAAUUUCCGGUGUAGCGGUGAAAUGCGUAGAUAUCGGAAGGAACACCUGUGGCGAAAGCGGCUCACUGGACCAUAACUGACGCUGAUGCACGAAAGCUAGGGGAGCAGACAGGAUUAGAUACCCUGGUAGUCCUAGCCCUAAACGAUGAUUGCUUGAUGUGGCAGGUACCCAAUCCUGCCGUGUCGAAGCUAACGCGAUAAGCAAUCCGCCUGGGGAGUACGGUCGCAAGGCUG
rnacentral:rRNA from 1 species